AACGAACGCUGGCGGCAUGCCUAACACAUGCAAGUCGAACGAGGCCUUCGGGUCUAGUGGCGCACGGGUGCGUAACGCGUGGGAACCUGCCCUUAGGUUCGGAAUAACUCCCCGAAAGGGGUGCUAAUACCGGAUAAUGUCUUCGGACCAAAGAUUUAUCGCCUUUGGAUGGGCCCGCGUUGGAUUAGCUAGUUGGUAGGGUAAAAGCCUACCAAGGCGACGAUCCAUAGCUGGUCUGAGAGGAUGAUCAGCCACACUGGGACUGAGACACGGCCCAGACUCCUACGGGAGGCAGCAGUGGGGAAUAUUGGACGAUGGGCGAAAGCCUGAUCCAGCAAUGCCGCGUGAGUGAUGAAGGCCUUAGGGUUGUAAAGCUCUUUUACCCGGGAUGAUAAUGACAGUACCGGGAGAAUAAGCUCCGGCUAACUCCGUG
rnacentral:rRNA from 1 species